UGUGUGGGUGUGUGGCUGUGAGCUUGUGAGCUUGGGUUGAGUCACAGUUACAAUAAUGACUCUGGCAAAGAAGUGGACAAACAGCUUGAACUAACUGUAAAGACAGAGAGAGAGAGAGAGAGAGAGAGAGAGAGCGGGCGAGCGAGAGGGGGCUGUGCUUUCCGUGGCAUCUCCAUCUUAUAACUCCUGUGCUACUCAGUGCAUCCACACAUACACCACACACACACACACACACACACACACACACACAGGCACUGAUAUAGAGGAUACAGUAUAUCAGUUUAGUGCUGUGUGGGUCAGAGCUGUCGUUCAGUGGAAGCAGUGAAGUGUUGUGAAGACAUCAUGUGUCGUGUGGUGGAUAAUGGAUCAUCUGCAACAGGUUGGGCUCAUACGGUCUUUCGUUUGGCCCUGGCUUGCGAUGUAACCACGCCCCCUGCUGUUUGUAUGUAGAACAGCACAUGGAGCAGUGAGAGGAACAAACAGACGACUUCCCUCUUCAGACAACUUUCGACCUACAUCUGCAUCCAAUCAGCAGCCACGAGUCUCACUUAUUACACAACAUCAGGAGUCACUUCUUCUCCAUACAACAUGUCCUGUGUAUAUUUGGCCUGAUGCACUUUAACGUCUUUAACAAUGUGGAGACUUGUUGAGUAAAGAACUGCUCUCAGAAACUGAUUUCAUCUGGUGACAUAGAUGUGUGUAUCCAGUCUCUAGCACCAUAUGAAAUCAGUGUUUUGGGAGGUGGACUAUCAGCAUGUGCAGCGUCUGUACAGGAGUAAAGUCAAACACAACAUGGUCGUGUGUAGAUGCCUAAAAGUAGGUCACAUAUGUAUAAAUUAUUGUAUUUUCUCCUGCUUCGUUCACUAACUGCUCACAGAUGCUAUCGUACUUUAACCUUUUUUUUUAUCCUGCCUGUCUCUCAUUUACUCGACAUAUAUUAUUAUAAUGAGUCCACUUUUAUUCAUGUAGGAAAUCUUAUUCAAUUUAUAUUACAUUAAAUGUUAUGCACUUUCUAAACUAUUUAACUUCUCCUAAAAGGUGGCCACAACUGACCAUUAGGAGAUAAUGGCAAACAUAAGGUGCAGUCACUUAGACAAUAAUAUCUAAGUUAGUUUAACGUAAGCUUUGACUUGGCAGAAAAACUCCUCUGUGUUUUGAAUUUAGCAACAGUGAAUUGUUUUAUUUAUGAAUGAAUCCUUUCUUCAGUAAGAACAAGCUGCUUUCUCUCAUUUCACAAGUUACCUACUUUUCUUUGAAGGCUCAUCUAGGAUUUAAAUCUGGCAGCUACCAUUGCAUCAUUUCCUUUAAUAUAAUGGUUGUAUGUUACAGCUACAAUGUAAACAAUUUUGAGGUGAUUUUUUUUUAAACUGAAAGAACCUGUAUAUGCUGUAAUAAAGGUUUCAAAAUUA